rnacentral:rRNA from 1 species
AUAUCAGUCAUGCAUAGCAUAUCAAUAAGCGGAGGAAAAGAAACUAACAAGGAUUCCCCUAGUAGCGGCGAGUGAAGCGGGAAGAGCUCAAAUUUGAAAUCUUAAAGGGUUUCCCUUUACGAAUUGUAGUUUAAAGAAGUGUUUUCUGUUAGAGUUUCGGUAAAAGUUCUUUGGAAUAGGACAUCAUAGAGGGUGAGAAUCCCGUAUUUGACCGUUUUUUCUAGCUUUGUGAUACACUUUCAAAGAGUCGGAUUGUUUGGGAAUGCAGUCCAAAAUGGGUGGUAAAUUUCAUCUAAAGCUAAAUAUUGGCGAGAGACGAUAGCGAACAAGUACCGUGAGGGAAAGAUGAAAAGAACCUUGAAAAGAGAGUUAAACAGUACGUGAAAUUGUCAAAAGGGAAGCGUUUGACACCAGUGUUGUUUAAUUGAAAAUCAAUUAACUAAUUUUUGAUUUUAAAUAGUAUUGACUUUACCAGCUUGCUAUUUUCUUUUCGGAAAUUAUUUAAUGCACUUUUCAGUUAACAAGUCAACAUCAAUUUCUUUUGUUGUAAAAAGGUAAGAGGAAGGUGGCUUAUGCUUCGGUAUAAGUAUUUAUAGCCUUUUACCUCUGCAAUCGGAGAGAUUGAGGUCUGCAGCGUAGAUCCUUCGGGGUUAGACUACAUUUGUGCUAAGUUAUAAUAUUUUAUAGACAACUUGUUGACUAUGAUUUAUCAUGUAGCUUACUCGCUUAUGCUAUUUUACCUACGCUUAGGAUGUUGACGAUCAGCUGAGCGCG